AGAGUUUGAUCCUGGCUCAGAUUGAACGCUGGCGGCAUGCCUUACACAUGCAAGUCGAACGGCAGCACGGGAGCAAUCCUGGUGGCGAGUGGCGAACGGGUGAGUAAUAUAUCGGAACGUGCCCAGUCGUGGGGGAUAACGCAGCGAAAGCUGUGCUAAUACCGCAUACGAUCUCUGGAUGAAAGCGGGGGACUCGCAAGRGCCUCGCGCGAUUGGAGCGGCCGAUAUCAGAUUAGCUAGUUGGYGGGGUAAAAGCYCACCAAGGCGACGAUCUGUAGCUGGUCUGAGAGGACGACCAGCCACACUGGAACUGAGACACGGUCCAGACUCCUACGGGAGGCAGCAGUGGGGAAUUUUGGACAAUGGGCGCAAGCCUGAUCCAGCAAUGCCGCGUGCAGGAUGAAGGCCUUCGGGUUGUAAACUGCUUUUGUACGGAACGAAACGGUUCUCUUUUAAUAAAGAGGGCUAAUGACGGUACCGUAAGAAUAAGCACCGGCUAACUACGUGCCAGCAGCCGCGGUAAUA
rnacentral:rRNA from 1 species